GGGGUGCUCGAGUGGCGAACGGGUGAGUAACACGUGAGUAACCUGCCCUUGACUUUGGGAUAACUUCAGGAAACUGGGGCUAAUACCGGAUAGGAGCUCCUGCUGCAUGGUGGGGGUUGGAAGUUUCGGCGGUUGGGGAUGGACUCGCGGCUUAUCAGCUUGUUGGUGGGGUAGUGGCUUACCAAGGCUUUGACGGGUAGCCGGCCUGAGAGGGUGACCGGCCACAUUGGGACUGAGAUACGGCCCAG
rnacentral:rRNA from 1 species